rnacentral:rRNA from 1 species
UGGUGAAGUUAACCCAUUAAGCACUCCCCCUGGGGAGUCGGCCGCAAGGCUGAAACUCAAGGAAUUGACGGGGGCCCGCCACAAGCGGGGAGCAUGUGGUUAAUUCGAAGCAACGGAAGACCUUACCAGGUCUUGACAUCUUCUGAAAACCCUAGAGAUAGGCUUCUCCUUCGGGAGCAGAGUGACAGGUGGUGCAUGGUGUCGUCAGCUCGUGUCGUGAGAUGUUGGGUUAAGUCCCGCAACGAGCGCAACCCUUGAUCUUAGUUGCCAUCAUUAAGUUGGGCACUCUAAGGUGACUGCCGGUGACAAACCGGAGGAAGGUGGGGAUGACGUCAAAUCAUCAUGCCCCUUAUGACCUGGGCUACACACGUGCUACAAUGGACGGUACAAAGAGCUGCAAGACCGCGAGGUGGAGCUAAUCUCAUAAAACCGUUCUCAGUUCGGAUUGUAGGCUGCAACUCGCCUACAUGAAGCUGGAAUCGCUAGUAAUCGCGGAUCAGCAUGCCGCGGUGAAUACGUUCCCGGGCCUUGUACACACCGCCCGUCACACCACGAGAGUUUGUAACACCCGAAGUCGGUGGGGUAACCUUUUG